GUUCUAUAAAGGAAACUUCCCUAGAAAGAAACCACUUCUAAAUGGAAUAAUUAAAAUAAUUUGUUAGAAACUUUAAGUUACCCUAUGAGCUCCUAGUAACACUGUUUUCAAGCUCAUAGGUUAAUUGUUAAGCCCUUUUGCUCCGAGUUGAACUGAUCAAAUGGCUCUGUGUAAAAGGUAACAGUGUAGAAUCCUCUUUGAGAAAUAGCAUGUAAACUUGGGAGAAAUGGCCUAAGCCCACGGUUCUCAAGUCACUGAGACAGUUGAAAAAGCCCCCUCAGGUGGUGAGAAUGGGAUAAUAUUUUAUUAUAUCUCUAAGAUGCCUCAAAUCCAAAGAGAUAAUUAAAUUUGGAAUUUUAUUAGUUUCACCUAAUAGUUGUAUAAAAGCUGAAUAUUUAAGGAUCUCCUUUAUCAGGCACUGAGAUGCUUUGUAUACAUUACUUCAUUUAGUUUUCACAAUAGUCCUAAGAGGUGGAGGUAUUUUUGACCCUGUUUUAUAGUUGAAGAACAGGCUCAGUAAGGUUAUAUUACCUGCUCCAAAUUUCACAGCUAGUUAAUUUAGUUUAUGUUGGAAGUUAGCAUUUAAGGUUGGUUAUUUUUCCUAUGUGGCUCCAAUUGCUCCUAAAAUGGUGUUGAUUUUUCUGUUUAAAAUGAUCCAGAGGAGGUUCUUGGUUCAAAGCAGAUUUUUAAGUGAUUUAAAAGUGCCUCAUUGUCCCAGCGCCAAAUUAUCAAAGUUCAAGGAAUUAUGCAUUUACUCUAGAAGGCUACGGCUUUCAAAUAUUAACUGAGAAAGCCCUACUCUUAAUGAGCUCGUUAAUGCACAUGGCCGCCUUAGUGUUGCUGAACUCCGGUAACUUUCUUCUGCUUUUUUUCUGAAGACCUUUUAAUUCAGGGUGUGCAUUUUCCUCUUGCGUGUCACAAGUGCUAUUCAGGCUUUCUCUAGUUGAAUCCCCUGUUUGUGAGUGCAUACCUGCAGUAUUUUAUAUGCUAAGUGAAAUAUUUUUAAAUUUACGUUAGCACCUAGAUUAGCGUUGAACCUGUUUUAAGAAUGCAAAAUUAUUCUUAAGACAUACUAGAUGUUGGUGUCCUUCCCCUCUGUAUUUGCCUAAACCUUCAUCAGUGUAUUGAGCCUCUUAAGAGCAGGUGAGCUUAUGAACAACCUUGUCUGGAAACGUCAGAAUUUAGCCACAUGAUGAGAUCAUUCCUGGUAGCCAGGAGUUGUAGAUAAUGCUCACUUCUGUAUCCUGAGCACCUAGGGUAGCAUCUGGCUUUUGAAACACCAUGUGUUGAAUGAAUGAAUGAAGACAAAGAAGAGCAAGAGCAGAGGAUGAGCAGAAAUAGAGAACUCGAAUGAAGAUUCACUUUGGAACACAUUAGUCAAUUAGAUAUAUGCAUGCCUGACAAAUGUACCCCUAGAGUCUAGAAUACUUUCAUUUCUUAUCUUCGUAACCUCUACUCAGGCUCUUGACAGCUG
rnacentral:lncRNA from 1 species